rnacentral:rRNA from 1 species
GACGAACCGAGCGAACGUUAUUCGGAAUCACUGGGCUUAAAGGGCGCGUAGGCGGGCCCGCAAGUCAGGGGUGAAAGCCCCCAGCUCAACUGGGGAAGUGCCUCUGAUACUGCGGGCCUCGAGGGAGGUAGGGGCGUGCGGAACUUCCGGUGGAGCGGUGAAAUGCGUAGAUAUCGGAAGGAACACCGGUGGCGAAAGCGGCGCGCUGGACCUCUCCUGACGCUGAGGCGCGAAAGCCAGGGGAGCAAACGGG